UACGAAGGGGGCUAGCGUUGUUCGGAUUUACUGGGCGUAAAGCGCACGUAGGCGGGUUGUUAAGUCAGGGGUGAAAUCCUGGAGCUCAACUCCAGAACUGCCUUUGAUACUGGCAACCUAGAGGCUGGAAGAGGUUAGUGGACUUCCCAGUGUAGAGGUGAAAUUCGUAGAUAUUGGGAAGAACACCAGUGGCGAAGGCGGCUAACUGGUCCAGAUCUGACGCUGAGGUGCGAAAGCGUGGGGAGCAAACAGG
rnacentral:rRNA from 1 species